GACAGAGGGUGCAAACGUUUGUUCGGAAUUACUGGGAGUAAAGCGCGUGUAGGCGGUCUCGCAAGUCGGAUGUGAAAGCCCAGGGCUCAACCCUGGAAGUGCACUCGAUACUGCGAGGCUAGAGUCCCGGAGAGGAUGGUGGAACUCUCGGUGUAGAGGUGAAAUUCGUAGAUAUCGAGAAGAACACCGGUGGCGAAGGCGGCCAUCUGGACGGUGACUGACGCUGAGACGCGAAAGCGUGGGGAGCAAACAGG
rnacentral:rRNA from 1 species